UCUAAGCGAUGUUCAUGCGACGAAUUUUUUGCUCAAAAUUCAGCAAUUUUGGAACGAACUUUGCUGUCUGGCUGCUUUCAUGUCCUGAAUUGACUUUAUCAGGUGAUGCGACCCCACGCUUGCCAACUGCCUUAAAAUAAUGACAUUUGCUAAUAAAUAAAUAACCUAUCUUUCCCAGUUCUUUUUUGGUAAAUGAAAAACUGAUUUCCAGAAUACGGCCGGAAAGAGAUUUCCAGUCUUCCUAUAUGAAGUUGGGGCUCCAGAAUGAAGAAUCAGUUAGGAAGAAAAAGAGGAUGGUCUGUCUCAAUUAUGUCCCAAAAAUGAAAAGGCAGAAGGAACUCAGAAAGAUAGGUUAUUUAUUCAUUAGCAAAUGUCAAAUUGUCAAAAUUUUACCGCAUAUGGCAACCAUGGGGUCGUUCACUUAAUAAGGUCAAUUCACGAAAAAUUGCAAGGCUUGAGUCAAUCGAUAUGCCAACAUCUUCAGCAAGUUCUCCAAAAGUGAUUUGGUGAUUUUCCAGAACAUUUUUUUCACUUUGACGCUAAACUCAUCUAACUUUUAUGCCUUUUACCAAUAAACAUGCUGAAAAAGUCAGCACAUAUUCUAGGCCAGUGUACCAACAGAAAACAUUGAAAAUCGCUAAUAUGUACGUAGCCGCGAAAUUUGAAAAUCACUUUAUUUUGAAUAGAUCUAGUAUGCACCUGUUAUAUUUUUAACCAGCUGUUGCAUGCCUACGAACAACAACCCUCAGAAGUCGAAACUUGAGCGAGCUAAGGAUUAACGAGGUCUUACCUUUUAACGCAUGAUUCCUAAUAGAGUAUUUUCAUUUUUAUAUCAAAUAGAGUAAUCUAUUUGACCACUUUAUAUACAAAAUUACAUUUAUGGUAAGUCAUAUAUACUAUAUACAAUAGGUAUUAUGUCAGACACUUGAAAUGAGCAAUGUCUAGAUUAAAGUAAUGAAUUUUACAA